UAUGCAUGCAUGCAUGCAACACUUUGGUAUGCAUGUGUGUCUGUAUGUUAUGUAAGUCAGUGUAUAUUUAUUCAUGCAUGCAUGUGUGCAUCAGCAGGGAAGCCCACAACAGAUAUGGAGUUACUUCUUUUGAAUAAUCACCUAAAUUAGUUUCAUAAACUUUCAAAAAUUUGAACUGUUCUGUC